UACGAAGGGGGCUAGCGUUGCUCGGAAUUACUGGGCGUAAAGGGCGCGUAGGCGGACAUUUAAGUCGGGGGUGAAAGCCCAGGGCUCAACCCUGGAAUAGCCUUCGAUACUGGAUGUCUUGAGUUCGGGAGAGGUGAGUGGAAUGCCGAGUGUAGAGGUGAAAUUCGUAGAUAUCGGGAGGAACACCAGUGGCGAAGGCGGCGAUCUGGGAAGAUACUGACGCUGAGGUGCGAAAGCGUGGGGAGCAAACAGG
rnacentral:rRNA from 1 species